GUAAGAAAUGUCAUUUUUUUAUGAAUCGUUAACUAAAUGCGUAGACGCGUCCCCUUUAAAUCGCUGGUGCUCGUGCUCGUCAAAACCCGCCUUUUGCUUACGCGAAGAUGGUCACUUCCCGCUGGUGACAACUAGUUCUCAGGUAAAUUUACCUAACGUUUCUGAACUUGUAUUUGCAUAGGAAAGACAACGUUCUGUGAGAGAAAUUUAUUGUCUUCAUUAAAUUUAGACGCUUUCUGAACGAUAAAAUGAUGUAACUUAGUACAACGGAAUGCAUGUCGUCUUCAAAUCGCUCACGCUCGUCAAAUAACCGCAAUUUGCCUGAGAGAAGACGGUUACUUCCCGCUGGUGACAAGUAACACGCUUUCUGAACGAUGAAGUGAUGUAGGACAACGGAAAUGCAUGUUGCCUUCAAAUCGUUUGUGCUCGUCAAAUUUUGCAUGGAAAAAGACGGUCACUUCUCGCCAGUGACAAAUAAUUCUGAGGUAAUGAAACCAUUUGAUAAUAAUCUUGGACCUGUGACUUCUGGGUCAUUGGCCACUGGACUGACUAAAGCUGUACUCUACAAAGACAAGAAAAAAAAUACAAGAAGAUUUUCCACAUCAGUGAUGCCUCACAGCUUUUGCACUGCAGCUUCUUCCGGUGGAACACGGUUUAUAAAGUGGGAGUAGUUGGAUCUGGGUCCAUCCUCGCCCCCUGGAUGUUGUGUUCUGCAGUGAGGACCUUCUCGAGUGUUGCGCAUGAGAAUUUUUUUUAAAAAGUGGAGGGGAGGUUCUUUUCUAAAAUUCGGGAAAAUCUUCCGCUAUACCUUUUAAAGUCGGCAUGAAACGGAAGUAGCGAUAGCCUUAUUUUCCCCGUGGUGACGUAUAUCCGAACGAAACGGCUUCUGAAAUGAAAUAAGGCAGGGCUGGAUUUGAAUUUGUCCAUAGAGAUCUAAUUGGAUUGUUGAAGUUGGGUCGUGUUG